UGGGGAAUAUUGCACAAUGGGCGAAAGCCUGAUGCAGCGACGCCGCGUGAGGGAUGACGGCCUUCGGGUUGUAAACCUCUUUCAGUAGGGACGAAGCGCAAGUGACGGUACCUGCAGAAGAAGCACCGGCUAACUACGUGCCAGCAGCCGCGGUAAUACGUAGGGUGCGAGCGUUGUCCGGAAUUACUGGGCGUAAAGAGCUCGUAGGCGGUUUGUCACGUCGUCUGUGAAAUCCUAGGGCUUAACCCUGGACGUGCAGUCGAUACGGGCUGACUUGAGUACUACAGGGGAGACUGGAAUUUCUGGUGUAGCGGUGGAAUGCACAGAUAUCAGGAAGAACACCGGUGGCGAAGGCAGGUCUCUGGGUAGUAACUGACGCUGAGGAGCGAAAGCAUGGGUAGCGAACAGG
rnacentral:rRNA from 1 species